AUUCUGCCCAUGCGGGGAAGGAUGAGAAGCUUCGACUAAGGUUCGGCUCGAGCGUCAGCGAGAGAGCGUUGCCGCAGGCAACGACCCGAAGGGCGAAGCGCGCAGCGCUGAGUAAUCCUUCCCCCACAACCA
rnacentral:sRNA from 1 species